rnacentral:lncRNA from 1 species
GACGGAUUUACGGGGGUACAAUGAAGACUCUGGUCCCUUGGGAUGACAUAACAAAUUACUAAAAGUGGAGAACUGUACAUGAUCAGAAUCCUAUUUUCUUAAUGUUCUGAGACUUGGAGAAAAGGGAGCAAGCCUAGAAACUAUAAGAGAGUUAGGAACACUUUUAGAGACUCUAAGAGAAUUGGGUUCUACUUCCUCUGCUGGUUCCAAGGUUUCCAGGGAAACCUUUACCUCAUGUCUUCAUUCUUUACCUCAUAUCUUCAGGCACUUCUCCAUGUCUUUUCUUUUUGGCUUUCUGAUCCCGUGUUCCCUUCUUUGAGUCUUUUCAUGAAGACUGGCCUUGGAUAUAGGUGACCUACACUAUUCGUAUUGAACAGCUAACUUCUCACAUGGGUGAAUAAGAAAAGUUCGAGUUUAAUAAAGAUUUUCUCACCCAAAAAGUUGUUCUGGUUUUUGGUAUCUUAGUCGAAUACUUCUAUGUCAUCAUCACUUGUAC